UACAGAGGUGGCAAGCGUUGUUCGGAAUUACUGGGCGUAAAGGGCGCGUAGGCGGUUUUGUAAGUCCCGCGUGAAAUCCCCCCGGCUCAACUGGGGAACUGCGCGGGAAACUGCAAGGCUUGAGUUCGGGAGAGGGAAGCGGAAUUCCGGGUGUAGCGGUGAAAUGCGUAGAUAUCCGGAGGAACACCGGUGGCGAAGGCGGCUUCCUGGACCGACACUGACGCUGAGGCGCGAAAGCGUGGGGAGCGAACAGG
rnacentral:rRNA from 1 species